UGCGUAGGUGGCAAGCGUUGUCCGGAUUUACUGGGUGUAAAGGGCGCGUAGGCGGGACAGCUAGUCAGGUGUGAAAUCUCUGAGCUCAACUCAGAAACUGCACUUGAAACUGUUGUUCUUGAGUGUCGGAGAGGUAGACGGAAUUCCUAGUGUAGCGGUGAAAUGCGUAGAUAUUAGGAGGAACACCAGUGGCGAAGGCGGUCUACUGGACGAUAACUGACGCUGAGGCGCGAAAGCGUGGGGAGCAAAC
rnacentral:rRNA from 1 species